rnacentral:rRNA from 6 species
CUAAGCACGAAACUUGCCCCGAGAUGAGUUCUCCCUGAGACUUAGAGUCUCCUGAAGGAACGUUGAAGACGACGACGUUGAUAGGCCGGGUGUGUAAGCGCAGCGAUGCGUUGAGCUAACCGGUACUAAUGAACCGUGAGGCUUAACCUUACAACGCCGAAG